AGCUGACGAGUCCCAAAUAGGACGAAAUGCGCGUUAU
rfam:Trichobilharzia regenti genome assembly, scaffold: TRE_scaffold0006556